rnacentral:rRNA from 1 species
AUUGAACGCUGGCGGCAGGCCUAACACAUGCAAGUCGAGAGAGCGGCGGAAGGGUGAGUAAUGUCUGGGAAACUGCCUGAUGGAGGGGGAUAACUACUGGAAAAGGUAGCUAAUACCGCAUACCAUCAGAUGGGCCCAGAUGGGAUCGGCUAGGAGGUGGGGUAACGUCUCACCUAGGCGACGAUCCCUAGCUGGUCUGGGAGGAUGAACAGCCACACUGGAACUGAGCAGCUGUCCAGACUCCUACGGGAGGCAGCAGUUGGGAAUAUUGCACAAUGGGCGCAGGCCUGAUGCAGCCAUGCCGCGUGUGUGAAGCAGGCCUUCGGGUUGUAAAGCACUUUCAGCGGGGAGGCGUUACCCGCAGAAGAAGCACCGGCUAACUCCGUGCCAGCAGCCGCGGUAAUAC